AUGACCUGGGAAUCUUAUUAAAAUGUGAAUUUUGAUUAAGAUCUGGGAUGGGGUCUGAGAUUCUGCAUUUCUAAGAAGCUCCCAGUUGAUGUCAAU
rnacentral:pre_miRNA from 1 species